rnacentral:snRNA from 1 species
CUUCCUUUACAGAGAAGAUACAAAGAUACAGAUUAGCAUGGCCCCUACACGAGGAUGACACACAAAUUCCAUAUCUGGUGGCAGCAUGU